GUUGGCAUAUAUUGAAGAGAAUUUGUGUUCUCUCAUGGUCAAUUGUGUGUUGCUUUGUCACUAGCAAAAGCUGUUGCUACUGUGAAAAUCUUGAUUGAAAUAGGAAAGGGAAAUCAUGGUAUUCCCGAUUAUCGGACAAGAAAUGUUGCGUAUCAAGAACUGUUAACACUUGCAAAGUGUCAUUAACUUGAUGGAUAUGCAGCUCACUCCAAUCAAGAAUAUCAAUAGUAGCACAAGAAAUUGGACAGCCAAAGUCAAGGUCCUUGAAAAAUGGAACCCAAGUCCACAUAGCCCAGUCAAGCUUCAAAAGUUGAUCUUAGCUGAUGCAGAGGGAAGCAGAGUCCAAGCAACAAUCAUUGAAGAUGAUAUUGAGAAAUUGGAAGACACUCUGCAAUUUUACAACACAUAUCUAAUUUCUAAUGCAGACGUCAAAUAUGUUUCGCCGAAGUAUCGUCUCGAUAACUUUGAGUGGCAAUGGACAAUCAAUGCCAGAACAUUGAUUCAAACUGUUGAUGAAUCUCUAUCUCAUGAAAAUCUUCUCAAUCUUGAUUUCGUACCAUUUGAACAGUUUGAACAGCAUGCUGGUGGACAAACAACUAUUGAUAUAUUAGCAGCUGUUGCACGAGUCAAACCUCCCAAGGUUCUUAGUAAACCUGGAAAUCCAAUAGCACAAGAGAUUAUUCUCAUUAAUCAAGAGUUGAAGCCAAUUAUCUUGACCUUUUGGGAUGAUUUCAUAACAAGAGAAGGACAGUUGUUACAAGAUACCAGCCCAUAUCCAGUAUUGAUUGGAAUUCGUCUCAGAGUUAAUACAUACAAUGGUCAUUCAUUGUCAACUCGACCAGGAAGUUCUUUUGUCAUAGAUCCAGACACAAUGGCUGCACAUACACUGAAAGCUUGGUGCACUGCAAACAAAGAAACUGUUGAGCAGCUUUGUGAUGAAUUCUUGGCUAAACCAAUCCUUCGAAUAGUACCAAAUCCAAAUGAUAAGGAUAUUAUAAGCAUCACAGAUGUUCCAAAGACACCAGAAAUGGUUGAGAAGCAAAUGUAUUGGAUCCAAGGCAAGAUAUCAGUUGUAUCAUUGAACCAAAACUUCUGGCACAUGGCCUGCCCCAACUGUCGAAAAUCCAUCAGUGCAAGAGAUGAAGUGAUAUUUGAUUGUUUCAAUUGCAACAGAAAAAAAGUUAUGGCAAAACCAAGUGUGAAAUUUGAAGUUCUAUUGACCGAUGCUUUUGGUUCAAUGACUGCAACAAUGUUUGAGGACUAUGCUGAAGAAUAUUUCUUAGUUGAUGGAAAAAAACUCAUGAAAUUUGCUGCAGAGCAGAAAGACCAAAAUGUCAUUACUGUCUUUCCAAAGUUGGCCUUGGAAAAUGAGUAUCGCAUCCAGCUGAAACCACGAGAAUAUCCUUCACGUGGUGUCAAAGUUCUUGCAUACAACAUCAACAGCAUUAAACCUGCUGCAACUGAAGAUAAAGCCAAUGAAGAUCCAUUAACAGAGACAGAAAAAUAUUCAUCAGUUGCUUCAGAAGUAACUUUUGAAUCACCAAAACUCCAGCUCAGUGAGCAUGCUAAAACCAGCACUAAUCAGCUUUUGAGAUUGCAUUUGGAUUUUUCUGAUUCAAGUCAACAAAAGACAAGACCAGAAUCAUGUCCUACAAGCGCUGAGAAAACUGGUUGGCUGAAUCUCCGCUUUGGGAUUUUCGCUGGGGCAGUUGCUUUGACAGGCAUUGGUGUAUUAGUCUACUUGAAGCGCUCCAACCUUUGAUCUUCUGCUGAUCUACUUAAAGGGUGAAAAGACAAUAUAGCCAUGAAGUUGAUUGUAUGAAUGCUGUAAUGCGUUUACCAGCGUCUUAAGAUGUUUCCUAAAGAUUAGUUUAAAUGAAGCUGAAGAUGGAAAGUAGCUAUUGUCCUCUCGUAGUGAUGCAGUAGGAUUUAGGGGUAUUGUUGUCAUUUUAGUGUCUUUAGUGUGUGUAGUGUCCCUCAUUAGAAUUUAGGGGUAUUGUUGUCAUCGUUUGUUGAUUGUUUCAACGGCCUCUAAGAAGUGGAAUUGAGAUUGUGUGGAUCCAUAGUUAAUGAGAUUUUAAUGAGGUUGGUAGAGAAUUGUACAUCUCUGAAUUCUCUGUUAAUCCACGAUGAAGGUAGCAGAGAGGGUUUGUUUCAUUUCAUUACUCAGAGCCGUUGUAAGUUGCAAAAACUUGAUUUACGUUUGCCUCUUGACCUCGAAGACAAUCACUUGUUGGCCGUGGCUGAGAAGUUCAGGGGUUUGUCGUCUCUUCGGUUAUGAAGUUGUUUUCUUGUUACUGCUGAAGGGCUUAGGACUAUGGCGUUAGCCAUGAGUAAUGAGCUUGAAGAAUUGGCUUUGGUAAAUUGCAACUUGGAACCUGGAGUUUUGACCACUCUAGGACAGAAGUUUCGAAAUCUGAGGAAUUUGGACUUGUCUUACAAUGAGAUGUUGGCAGACGAAGAGUCUAUAUUGAUGCUUGCGUCAUGUAAUUGUUUGAGGGACUUGAAGGUGACGGUGUGUGAAGGAUUGACAAAUGCAUCCUUGGUUGCAAUGUUUAAUAGCUGUAAGCAGUUGGAGUUUGUAGAUAUAAAGAAUUGUCCUGGGAUAGGGGUAGAGGCUGUUGAGUUAUUUGUUUUGAAUUGUCUGCAGUUGGUUGUCUUAUAUGUUGAAGAGAGCAAGGUUUCAGACGUUUCCAGGUCUUGGUCUUCGAAGAAAUUCAUUUCUAUUGUUGCUGUUUGAUGUUGAAAAAGGCCAUUUCUUUUUCUUUAGAGUUUGCGGAUCGAUGCAUGGUUAGAAUUAUGAGCGAUGGUGCUUGGCAGAAAGAGUCUCUCAAAGCAGCGGCAGCUUGGGUAGGCAUUUGAUGAAGGAAAUCAGUAAAUUGGCUGUAACGAGAUUGUUUUGUUCAUCCAGAGUCGGUCGAUGAUGGCGGAAGUUGGAGCUUGUUUGGAUGCACUCCAAUGGUGUAUUCGGAAUAACCAUUACUCAGGUGUCUAUGCUCUCCAGGGGUCAAGUGCAGUGGAGUCAUGGUUAGAGUUUUUGAUAUCUGAUACUACUAGUAUUAAGUGGGCAUGUAAUCUUUUAGCUAAUGUUUUUUCAUUUCGAAAGUUCAUGGGAAUGUUUGUAUCCUUGGCACACAAUCUAGCCAAAGCAGCCAUUGCUAUGGGGGUGCUAAUCUUGUAUUAUCUGUGUGGUUAUUAAUGAGUAUUAUUCCCUCGAGCAAAAA